AUACGUUUAGCCAUAUAUUACUAUGCUCAUAGAAUAGUUUAUAUUAAACGUCAACCAUUACGCGCUUUAGAUCAUAUGAGUCCUUACUUCCAUGAAUUAGAAAAAAAAGCAAUUUCUAUCAAAAAUAAGUUUAUUUAUUGUCAACAAAAUAGCAUGUGUAAGGAUAUGUUAGAAAACAAUUCGCCUGAAUCUAAAGGAAAAGAUGACGUAGACGACAUUAUAUUUUCAGAUAAAAUUAAACGAAAAUUAAAUAAUCAAUUUUCCGAUUUAAACCUUGUUAAAUUUAAAAACUCUUUUGAUAAUGGUGACAUAAUUUAUUCUAGUAUUGAACAUGUUGGUUUAGAUACAGAAAUGCCCCCGAAUGAUAAUAAAAUAAUUUCACUCCAUGUUGAUAAAAAGAACAAUAAUAAGCAAGAGCUUAAUUCUAAUAAUCUCAUCGAAAUAAAUAAAAAAAGUAGAAGAAUUGAUGAUGGUGACAUAAAAGAAAAUUUUAGUAUACAUGGUAAAGGGUUUACUACUAAGAAUCACAUAUAUGGAAAUAGUAUUAUCGAAAGCGCGAAUCAUGGUAAUAAUAACAAUGAUAAUAAUAACAAUAAUAAUAAUAACAAUAACAAUAAGAAUAAUAGUAAUAAUAAAAAAGUUGAUUUUACUAUAACUGAGAGUAAAAUAAACAACAAUGACAAUGAUAUUUAUAAGAAUUACACAGAUUCAGAACAAGAAAAUAUAAUUACUGAGCCAAACAUAAAAAGUUUUACUCCUAAAUCUUCUACUAUUAUUUUUAACGAUAAAACAGAAAUUAAACAAAAAGAGAGCUUGAAUAGAAAACAGUUUGAAAAUAUAUACCAAAAGGAAAUAUUGCAAAAGGAUUUUCUUUUAAUAUUUGAUGACAUGAUAAAAAUGAAUAUAAAACAUAACUUACUAAUGUCUGGCAUUUCAAAUAAUAAUAUUGCUUAUGUUUUUUUUUGACAGGAGUGGAUAUGUACGAAAAUCCAAAAUAAUACCUUCAUAUGUAUUUGAUAAACAUGAUUUAAGUAAUAUCUCAUUAUAUUUAAAAAAUGAUACACAUUUAAAGAUGGAUAGAUAUUACAAAAUUUUUAGUUUCCUACAGAAUAAUCAUAAAGUAAGUAGUUAUGAUAAAAACGAAAUAACAAAUUUAUACUAUGGUUUAUUAAAAAGCACAACAUUUAACAUACUGCCUGAACCAGUUAUCACUAAUCCAAUUGAAAAAAAAAAAAUACUCAUUCAACAACAAAUACAAUAAAUCAUCUAUUUUAAAUACCA
rnacentral:lncRNA from 1 species